rnacentral:rRNA from 1 species
UACGGGGGGGGCAAGCGUUGUUCGGAAUUACUGGGCGUAAAGGGCGCGUAGGCGGUUGGAUAAGUCAGCUGUGAAAACCACGGGCUUAACUCGUGGCCUGCAGUUGAGACUGUCUGGCUUGAGUGUGGGAGAGGAGAGUGGAAUUCCUGGUGUAGCGGUGAAAUGCGUAGAUAUCUGGAGGAACACCGGUGGCGAAGGCGGCAUCCUGGACCGGUAUUGACGCUGAGGCGCGAAAGCCAGGGGAGCAAACGGG